CAAUCCGCAGCCCCUGGGUCUGUGCAGUGACCAGCCAGUCUCCUGAGAACUUUCCCCUCCAACACUCGGAAAAAUGAGGAUUUGGCUCCAUUUCGUUUUCAUUGUAGCAGCUCUGGGAGGCGCGCGGUCCCAGGUGCAGCUGGUGGAGUCCGGAGGGGAUGUGAAAAAGCCCGGAGACUCUCUCCGCCUCUCCUGCAAAGCCUCCGGCUUCACCUUCGGUGACUACUGGAUGAGCUGGGUCCGGCAGGCUCCUGGCAAGGGCCUGGACUGGGUCGCAACUAUAAGCUACUGGGCCGGCAGCACUGUGCAUUACGCCGACGCGGUCAAAGGCCGAUUCACCAUCUCCAGAGACAACCCCAACAACCUGCUGUAUCUGCAACUGACCGGCCUGAAGCCCGAGGACACCGCCCGGUAUUACUGUGCGAGAGACACAGUGAGGCGAAGCCGCUCUGAGCUCAGACAAAAACCUCCCGUUGCGGUCAGCAGGGAAGGUCCCAGCUGGUGAGAGCCUGACACUCCCGGGACUGGAAACU